GCUGGGCACAGUGGUGCAUGCCUGUAAUCCCAGUGGCUAGGGAGGCUGAGGCAGGAGGAUCGCAAGUUCAAAGCCAGUCUCAGCAAUUUAGUGAGGUCCUAAAGCAAGAACUUGCCUCAA
rnacentral:sRNA from 1 species